rnacentral:rRNA from 1 species
GAUGAACGCUAGCGGGAGGCUUAACACAUGCAAGUCGAGGGGCAUCACGAGGUAGCAAUACUUUGGUGGCGACCGGCGCACGGGUGAGUAACGCGUAUGCAACCCACCCUGUACAGUGGGAUAACCCGGAGAAAUUCGGACUAAUACCGCAUAAAGAUAUUUUGAGGCAUCUUAAGAUAUGUAAAGCUUAGGUGGUACGGGAUGGGCAUGCGUAACAUUAGCUGGUUGGUAGGGUAACGGCCUACCAAGGCGAUGAUGUUUAGGGGACCUGCGAGGGUGAUCCCCCACACUGGUACUGAGACACGGACCAGAGUCCUACGGGAGGCAGCAGUGAGGAAUAUUAGUCAAUGGGCGGAAGCUUGAACCAGCCAUCCCGCGUGCAGGAAGACAGCCCUAUGGGUUGUAAAGUACUUUCAGCGGGGAGGAAGGGAGUAAAGUUAAUACCUUUGCUCAUUGACGUUACCCGCAUAAGAAGCACCGGCUAACUCCGUGCCAGCAGCCGCGGUAA